CAUGCGGCUGCUAUACAUGCAGUCGAACGCUUCUUUUUCCACCGGAGCUUGCUCCACCGGAAAAAGAGGAGUGGCGAACGGGUGAGUAACACGUGGGUAACCUGCCCAUCAGAAGGGGAUAACACUUGGAAACAGGUGCUAAUACCGUAUAACAAUCAAAACCGCAUGGUUUUGAUUUGAAAGGCGCUUUCGGGUGUCGCUGAUGGAUGGACCCGCGGUGCAUUAGCUAGUUGGUGAGGUAACGGCUCACCAAGGCCACGAUGCAUAGCCAACCUGAGAGGGUGAUCGGCCACAUUGGGACUGAGACACGGCCCAAACUCCUACGGGAGGCAGCAGUAGGGAAUCUUCGGCAAUGGACGAAAGUCUGACCGAGCAACGCCGCGUGAGUGAAGAAGGUUUUCGGAUCGUAAAACUCUGUUGUUAGAGAAGAACAAGGAUGAGAGUAACUGUUCAUCCCUUGACGGUAUCUAACCAGAAAGCCACGGCUAACUACGUGCCAGCAGCCGCGGUAAUACGUAGGUGGCAAGCGUUGUCCGGAUUUAUUGGGCGUAAAGCGAGCGCAGGCGGUUUCUUAAGUCUGAUGUGAAAGCCCCCGGCUCAACCGGGGAGGGUCAUUGGAAACUGGGAGACUUGAGUGCAGAAGAGGAGAGUGGAAUUCCAUGUGUAGCGGUGAAAUGCGUAGAUAUAUGGAGGAACACCAGUGGCGAAGGCGGCUCUCUGGUCUGUAACUGACGCUGAGGCUCGAAAGCGUGGGGAGCAAACAGGAUUAGAUACCCUGGUAGUCCACGCCGUAAACGAUGAGUGCUAAGUGUUGGAAGGGUUUCCGCCCUUCAGUGCUGCAGCUAACGCAUUAAGCACUCCGCCCUGGGGAGUACGACCGCAAGGUUGAAACUCAAAGGAAUUGACGGGGGCCCGCACAAGCGGUGGAGCAAUGUGGUUUAAUUCGAAGCAACGCGAAGAACCUUACCAGGUCUUGACAUCCUUUGACCACUCUAGAGAUAGAGCUUCCCCUUCGGGGGCAAAAUGACAGGUGGU
rnacentral:rRNA from 1 species